AAAUGUGAUAAGUAAUGUGAAUUGCAGAAUUCAGUGAAUCAUCGAAUCUUUGAACGCACAUUGCGCCCGCCAGUAUUCUGGCGGGCAUGCCUGUCCGAGCGUCAUUUCAACCAUCAAGCCCCCGGGCUUGUGUUGGGGACCUGCGGCUGCCCGCAGGCCCUGAAAACCAGUGGCGGGCUCGCUGUCACACCGAGCGUAGUAGCAAUCACCUCGCUCAGGGCGUGCUGCGGGUUCCGGCCGUUAAACAGCCUUACAAAACCCAAGGUUGACCUCGGAUCAGGUAGGAAGACCCGCUGAACUUAAGC
rnacentral:misc_RNA from 1 species